GCUCUAAUGGUUUAGUGGUUAGAACGUCCGCCUCGGAUGUAGGAGGUUGCGGGUUAGAACUCCGGCCGAGUCA